GUGCCAGCAGCCGCGGUAAUACGGAAGGUCCGGGCGUUAUCCGGAUUUAUUGGGUUUAAAGGGAGCGCAGGCGGGAGUUCAAGCCAGCCGUCAAAUUGCGCCGCUCAACGGCGUAUUGCGGUUGGAACUGGGCUUCUUGGGUGCACAAGAGGGAGGCGGAACUCGUGGUGUAGCGGUGAAAUGCAUAGAUAUCACGAAGAACUCCGAUUGCGAAGGCAGCCUCCUGGGGUGUAACCGACGCUCAUGCUCGAAGGCGCGGGUAUCAAACAGGAUUAGAUACCCUGGUAGUCCGCGCGGUAAACGAUGGAUACUCGGGAUGCGGCCAGUAUGGUUACGUCCCCCAGCGAAAGCGUUAAGUAUCCCACCUGGGGAGUACGCCGGCAACGGUGAAACUCAAAGGAAUUGACGGGGGCCCGCACAAGCGGAGGAACAUGUGGUUUAAUUCGAUGAUACGCGAGGAACCUUACCCGGGCUUGAAAUGUACCUGACGGGAGGCAGAGACGCCUCCUUCCUUCGGGCAGGUAUGUAGGUGCUGCAUGGUUGUCGUCAGCUCGUGCCGUGAGGUGUCGGCUUAAGUGCCAUAACGAGCGCAACCCCUUCCGCCGGUUACCAUCGGGUUAUGCCGGGGACUCCGGCGGCACUGCCGCCGCAAGGCGUGAGGAAGGUGGGGAUGACGUCAAAUCAGCACGGCCCUUACGUCCGGGGCCACACACGUGUUACAAUGGGGGGCACAGAAAGCAGGAUGACGGCGACGUUGUCCGAAUCCUCAAAUCCCCUCCCAGUUCGGAUAGGAGCCUGCAACCCGGCUCCUUGAAGCUGGAUUCGCUAGUAAUCGCGCAUCAGCCAUGGCGCGGUGAAUACGUUCCCGGGCCUUGUACACACCGCCCGU
rnacentral:rRNA from 1 species